ACAACUUUUAACAAUGGAUCUCUUGGCUCUUGCAUCGAUGAAGAACGCAGCGAAAUGCGAUAAGUAAUGUGAAUUGCAGAAUUCAGUGAAUCAUCGAAUCUUUGAACGCACCUUGCACUCUCUGGUAUUCUGGGGAGUACACCUGUUCGAGUGU
rnacentral:rRNA from 1 species